rnacentral:rRNA from 1 species
GAUCAUGGCUCAGGAUGAACGCUGGCGGCGUGCUUAACACAUGCAAGUCGAACGAAGCACUUUAUUUGAUUUCCUUCGGGAUUGAUUAUUUUGUUGACUGAGUGGCGGACGGGUGAGUAACGCGUGGGUAACCUGCCUUGUACAGGGGGAGUAACAGUUGGAAACGGCUGCUAAUACCGCAUAAGCGCACAGCAUCGCAUGAUGCAGUGUGAAAAACUCCGGUGGUAUAAGAUGG